rnacentral:rRNA from 1 species
UACGUAGGGUGCGAGCGUUGUUCGGAAUCACUGGGCGUAAAGGGAGCGUAGGCGGCGUGGUAAGUCAGAUGUGAAAUCCCGGGGCUCAACCCCGGAACUGCAUCCGAUACUGCCGUGCUUGAGGGUUGGAGAGGUAGCUGGAAUUAUCGGUGUAGCAGUGAAAUGCGUGGAUAUCGACAGGAACACUCGUGGCGAAGGCGAGCUACUGGACAACAUCUGACGCUGAGGCUCGAAGGCCAGGGGAGCAAAAGGG